UACGUAGGGGGCAAGCGUUGUCCGGAUUUAUUGGGCGUAAAGAGCGUGUAGGCGGCCAAGCAGGUCAGCUGUGAAAACUCGAGGCUCAACCUCGAGACGUCGGUUGAAACCGCUUGGCUAGAGUCCGGAAGAGGAGAGUGGAAUUCCCGGUGUAGCGGUGAAAUGCGCAGAUAUCGGGAAGAACACCCGUGGCGAAGGCGGCUCUCUGGGACGGUACUGACGCUGAGGAGCGAAAGCGUGGGUACGCAAACAGG
rnacentral:rRNA from 1 species